ACCAGGAUGGCCGAGAGGUUAAGGCGUUGGACUUAAGAUCCAAUGGACAAAUGUCCUCGUGGGUUCGAACCCCACUCCUUGUA
rnacentral:tRNA from 1 species